GGCAUUUAGGUAGCAGAUCAAAUUUGGAUCGAGUAUUUCUGAUUUCAAGUAUUUUAGAACUAUGAAGAUUGGUACUGUUUGGAUAUUUUAAAAUUCUGGAUCGGGUACGGUUCAGUACUUAUUGAAUCCGGUUUGGAGCGGUUAUAUCCAAAAUAUCAAAAUUUUAUCGAAUUCGGUUUGGUUAUAUGUGUAUCAAUAAAACUUAAUCCAAGAAAAUUGAAUCUAUCUGAAAUAUCUGACUCUAG
rnacentral:lncRNA from 1 species